AUUCAAAAAGAAAAAAAAUGGUGCAAAUGCAAAACGACGUGUCUGACUUAAAAACUACUAAUAUGAAUAAUCACCUUAAAUUUUGAUAGCUGCCCCAUCGCUUCCUCUCCUUUUUCAGAUCAAUUUUGGUCUCCAUCUUCCCCAAUUUCCAUGGUUAUUAUUGUUGUAGCCAUAGUAGAACAAAAUAUCGCCUAUUCAACCAUCCUUGCCUUACCGUCAUGGCUGCUUCCUACAGGUUGCAACCCAUCCACAGAUACAAUCGACACCUCUUUGUUUAACUGCUGCAAAUCAAACUCAGACCAAAUAAGUUAAAAGGAAGCCACUGAUAUAUUUGAGCCGCCCCUACUUAUUAUUUGUCAACUUAAUGACAGCACACUCAUCAUUGUUGAUUUUCACACAAGUCAAUAUACACGCAGCUGACAAUUCUAAUUUGGGCACAUGCAAACUGCAGGUGAUAAAUUUUUUCAUAAUAAGGCCAAGGAUAAUGUUACCAUUCUCAAAAGAAAAAAAUCAAGGAUAGUUGAGGAGUGCUCAUAUUCAAGGGUGAACAAACUGUCACUCAGACAAUCUCAAGUCUCAAAAUCACUAGAGUUGACUGUGCCUUUAAAGAUUAAUUUGUUGGUCUGUUUAGUCAUUCUUCCUCUGUGGGCUGUCAUCACUGUUAUGCGCAAAAUAUAGGGGUCUAUGAGAUUAAGAAAGGAGAUUUCUCUAUUAAGGUGACCAGUUAUGGUGCCAUAAUCAUCUUUGUUUUUCUUGCUGAUAAGCAUGGAUAAAUAGGUGAUUUUGUUCUUGGAUAUGAAACCAUUGAGGAAUACAAGGUUAAUUCACUUUGUUCUAUUUUAUGACAUGUCUGGAUUUACUUCUUUUUAUAGAAAAAUUAGUUCAUUUUCUCAUCAAGGAAAAAACAAAUAGAGAAAGAGAGUGAUGUACCUCUUGCCUUUCCUUUCUUUGAUUUGCCUUAUAUUUUAUUGUGGCACUGUGAUUCUCCGUGAGUCAACAACAAUUGUGCCAUGUCAAAAUUCAUAGCCAAUUAUGAGCCAAAUAAAUUGUGUGUGGAUGACCGAGAAGCAUUACUGAUAUUUUGGCCUUAUGUACUUUGAUAUAUAACUGUACGACUGUAUCGUUAAAUGCCUUUCACAAUAGGCUUUACAAAACUUAAAA